rnacentral:rRNA from 1 species
AUAGGAGGUCCAGCCUGCCCAGUGACUACGGGUUCAACGGCCGCGGUAUUUUGACCGUGCAAAGGUAGCGCAAUCACUUGUCUUUUAAAUAGAGACCUGUAUGAAUGGCCAAACGAGGGCUUAACUGUCUCCCCCUUCAAGUCAGUGAAAUUGAUCUAUCCGUGCAGAAGCGGGUAUAAUAMUACAAGACGAGAAGACCCUUUGGAGCUUAAGGUACAAAAUUCAGCCACGUUAAACAACUCCACAAAAAGCAAAAACUUAGUGGAAUAUGAAGUUUUACCUUCGGUUGGGGCGACCGCGGAGGAAAAUAUAGCCUCCAAGUGGAAUGGGGUAAACCCCUAAAACCAUGAGAAACAUCUCUAAGCCGCAGAACAUCUGACCAAAAAUGAUCCGGCCAAACAGCCGAUCAACGAACCAAGUUACCCUAGGGAUAACAGCGCAAUCCUCUCCCAGAGUCCAUAUCGACGAGGGGGUUUACGACCUCGAUGUUGGAUCAGGACAUCCUAAUGGUGCAGCCGCUAUUAAGGGUUCGUUUGUUCAACGAUUAAAGUCC